AACAAACGCUGGCGGCGUGUCUUAAGCAUGCAAGUUGAGCGGCAAGGAGGAGAGAUCCUCCCUAGAGCGGCGGACUGGUGAGUAACGCGUGGGUAAUCUAUCGUAGGCAUGGGGGAUAGUCACUAGAAAUAGUGGGUAAUACCGAAUACGUUCCAUGAGGGGAGUAUUCAUGGAAGAAAGGGUGCUACGGCACUGGCCUUAGGUGAGCUCGCGUCCCAUUAGCUAGUUGGUGAGGUAAAGGCCCACCAAGGCGAUGAUGGGUAGCCGGCCUGAGAGGGUGUACGGCCACACUGGGACUGAGAUACGGCCCAGACUCCUACGGGAGGCAGCAGCUAAGAAUAUUCCGCAAAUGGACGAAAAGUCUGACGGAGCGACGCCGCGUGGAUGAAGAAGGCCGAAAGGUUGAAAGUUUUUUUGCUAGGGAGAAUAAGUGAGGGAGGGAAUGCCUCAUGAUGACAAGGACUAGCGAAUAAGCCCGGCCAACUACGUAGCCAGCAGCCGAC
rnacentral:rRNA from 1 species